rnacentral:RNase_P_RNA from 1 species
CAGGCUGGCUGGAUGGUCGCUGGCAGCGCAAGCUGUUAGAGGAAAGUCCGCACUCCGUAGAGCACGGUGCCGGGUAACACCCGGGAUGGAGUAAUCUGUGGGAUCGGGCCACAGAAAAUAACAGCCCCCUGGCUGGCUGGAACCUCCCUUUGGGAGGGGAGGCGGGCCGGGGAGUGAUGGUGAAAAGGUGGUGUAAGAGACCACCGGCGCGGGCAGCAAUGUCCGCGGCCAGGCAACCCCCGCCGGGAGCAAGGCCAAGCAGGGACAAACACGACCAGGGGUCGUGCGGAGGCUGCUCGCCUUCGGGCGGUGGGCGCAGCGUGCUGCGUUCACUGCCAUAGUUCCGGGUCGGCCGCUAGAGGCCUGCGGAGACGCAGGUCCCAGAGAGAUGAUCAUCGGCGCAGGUUCGCCUGCGCGCACAGAAUGCGGCUUAAAAGUCAGCCUGGGGU